rnacentral:lncRNA from 1 species
GGAAAUGUUUAGGAUUUUGUUUAAAAGAAAUGGGUAAUGGGUGUUUUAUUUGGAUGGGUUGGGUAUUUUGAAAGGAUGGGUCGGGUGGAUCCAGGUGGAUAGAAUGGUUUGGGUCAAACAAAUUAGGUUUUAAUUAAUUCAAUUUCCAACCAAUUACAACAUGCCACGUACUAAAUGAAAUAAUUAAAUAUAUGGACUAAGUAGUUUGUUAGUCAAAAGGGAAAAAUAGGUCCCUAAAGGUUAACCUCAAGGGUAUUUUGAGGCCAAAAGGUUAACAAAGGGCAUUUUUGUACCAAUUCUGAUACUAUAAGGGUAUUAUAGACCCUUCUCCGUUAAAAAAAUCAUAUGUAUUAUGAGUAUUAUGAUUUCUACUAAGGAAAUUGCAUAUGAGAUGAAAAUAAACCUGAAUUUCGUAAGAAACAAUUUGAUGAAAGUAUGGAUAGCGAAAUCACAA